rnacentral:misc_RNA from 1 species
UAGAGGCGCACUAUUGUGAAUCGCCCGUAUUGCUCCAUUUCGGACAAUAACGCGUUCUUUAUGAAAUAAUAUUUUGAAAUAUCAUUAAAAUAUGACGUACACAACCAUCCCCGUAAAAUGCACGAUCGUUGAGCUCGUCUCAAGCCAGAGGCACAAACUUCAAGGGCACAGAGUGUCGAGGGGAUAAGAACACACCUUUACCAAGUUCCAAAGUUUG